rnacentral:lncRNA from 8 species
AUGAGUUUACACAGUGAAGACAAGCUGCAGUUUCUAAGGCUCUGGGAUAAGACAGAAGAGAGGGAAGAGGGGAGGGAUACUGAGAAAGAAAAGGAGACCACCUGUAUGGGACUCCACGGCUGUCAGAAUGGGCACUCUGCACAAGGGUGUGCUGACCUGAACAGUUUAGACUCUAUGAGUCCCCAGGAGAGGAAGAGACAGGGCUACAUCCACGAGCUCCNNNNNNNNNNNNNNNNNNNNCACUUCAACUGUGAGAGACGGAAUCUAAAUCCAGAAAAUCACAUUGUAUGAUUUUUAAGUAAUUAAUUUGCAUUUUAUUGCAUGACAUAAGUAUUUGAUACAUCAGAAAAGCAGAACUUAAUAUUUGGUACAGAAACCUUUGUUCGCAAUUACAGAGAUCAUACGUUACCUGUAGUUCUUGACCAGGUUUGCACACACUGCAGCAGGGAUUUUGGCCCACUCCUCCAUACAGACCUUCUCCAGAUCCUUCAGGUUUCGGGGCUGUCGCUGGGCAAUACGGACUUUCAGCUCCCUCCAAAGAUUUUCUAUUGGGUUCAGGUCUGGAGACUGGCUAGGCCACUCCAGGACCUUGAGAUGCUUCUUACGGAGCCACUCCUUAGUUGCCCUGGCUGUGUGUUUCGGGUCGUUGUCAUGCUAGAAGACCCAGCCACGACCCAUCUUCAAUGCUCUUACUGGGGGAAGGAGGUUGUUGGCCAAGAUCUCACGAUACAUGGCCCCAUCCAUCCUCCCCUCAAUACGGUGCAGUCGUCCUGUCCCCUUUGCAGAAAAGCAUCCCCAAAGAAUUAAGUUUCCACCGCCAUGCUUCACGGUUGGGAUGGUGUUCUUGGGGUUGUACUCAUCCUUCUUCUUCCUUCAAACAAGGCGAGUGGAGUUUAGACCAAAAAGCUCUAUUUUUGUCUCAUCAGACCACAUGACCUUCUCCCAUUCCUCCUCUGGAUCAUCCAGAUGGUCAUUGGCAAACUUCAGACGGGCCUGAACAUGCGCUGGCUUGAGCAGGGGGACCUUGCGUGCACUGCAGGAUUUUAAUCCAUGACGGCGUAGUGUGUUACUAAUGGUUUUCUUUGAGACUGUGGUCCCAGCUCUCUUCAGGUCAUUGACCAGGUCCUGCCGUGUAGUUCUGGGAUGAUCCCUCACCUUCCUCACGAUCAUUGAUGCCCCACGAGGUGAGAUCUUGCAUGGAGCCCCAGACCGAGGGUGAUUGACCGUCAUCUUGAACUUCUUCCAUUUUCUAAUAAUUGCACCAACAGUUGUUGCCUUCUCACCAAGCUGCUUGCCUAUUGUCCUGUAGCCCAUCCCAGCCUUGUGCAGGUCUACAAUUUUAUCGCUGAUGUCCUUACACAGCUCUCUGGUCUUG